rnacentral:rRNA from 1 species
GAUGAACGCUGGCGGCGUGCCUAAUACAUGCAAGUCGAGCGAACCACUUCGGUGGUGAGCGGCGAACGGGUGAGUAACACGUAGGUGAUCUGCCCAUCAGACGGGGACAACGAUUGGAAACGAUCGCUAAUACCGGAUAGGACGAAAGUUUAAAGGUGCUUCUGGCACCGCUGAUGGAUGAGCCUGCGGCGCAUUAGCGAGUUGGUAGGGUAAAGGCCUACCAAGGCGACGAUGCGUAGCCGACCUGAGAGGGUGAACGGCCACACUGGGACUGAGACACGGCCCAGACUCCUACGGGAGGCAGCAGUAGGGAAUCUUCGGCAAUGGGCGAAAGCCUGACCGAGCAACGCCGCGUGAAUGAUGAAGGCCUUCGGGUUGUAAAAUUCUGUCAUAAGGGAAGAACGACUUUAGUAGGAAAUGGCUAGAGUGUGACGGUACCUUAUGAGAAAGCCACGGCUAACUACGUGCCAGCCGCCGCAGUAA